GGUCACGUUGUGUACACUUGUAAUCAUUUUUGUUGCCCUCCUUUGGACCUUCUCCAAUUUGACCACACCUUUUUGUUAGCGUUGCUAAGUAAGUUUGCAUUUCAGCUGUUUGUGUAGCAUUUGUUCAAGGAUAAAUUCAGAACUUCAUACUUUCACUAAAAUCUUCACUAGAUUUGUUGAAAAAAAAUGAUGUUUUUGAAUUGGUGGUGCACCUUUCCUUGUACAUUUUAAUGGCUUAGGUCCUAAACUAUGCCAAAAGUGUCACAUUCCCACUAAGAGCUAUUUUCUACACUGAAUGCACCAUCCACUCCUCCAUCUUCUCUGUUAGGUGAGUAGAAGCUGCUGAAUCUAUUAGGAUAGCUCCUUCAGCACUGCUUGGCAAGAUAAAUAAGUGGCCCUCACUUGCACCACUUGAAGCUACUGCCAACUCGGGACAAGAAAUUAGAAAUAAAACCCCAUAUCUAAGUUAAGGAAAUGCUGUGUCUUUAUAGAGCAUCUUCCAUUUGAGACUCUCAAAGCGCCUUACAAACUAUUGGAUUAAGUCUCACAUGGGAUAACAAUAAACCCCUGUUCUCAGAUGGACAAAGCAACUUGCAGUAUAUUAUUACACAACACAGUUUCUGAUUCAGGAAUAAACCUUAUUUUCUUGUCUCCCUUCCUCACAUAUUCUUUAACCUCUGCACCGUCUGACCAAGUAUGUUGAGUGACCGAGCCCAAGCACUCGUCCCCCCCGCCCCCUUUACUCAAGACAUUUUAGCUUAUUGGGGACAUUAGCAACAUUCCAAGUUUAACAUAAUGCUCCUGGAUGGAUCAUCAGAUGCAGGGAUCAAAUGCUGAGAACAAUAGAUCUAAGAGAGUAAGUCUGGACUUUCUAAACUGAAAGAUCUAGUCCUGUUAGAGACUGGACCACAUGGUAGUUUGCACUAGGCGAACUAUUUCUCCUAACCAACAAAUCUCAACUUGGGAUUCAACUCAAUUCAUAUUCCAAGGUGCAACACCACUUAUAACUCAGUACUCCAGGUUGGUUAGUGGCAGUGGCAAUUAAACCGAGAAUCUCUGGAUGUAGAAGUUUGAACCUCUGCUUGCCCACGCUAAAAGAGACUUUCCUCACCCAAAGGCUGUAACAGAUUCGCAAACCUCAGUGGCCCACAGGUUAGAGAGCCACACUAAGUGUGGACUGCAUAAGGCUAGGCAUACAGGGAAUUAUGUAAAAACGCUGUGCUUCAAGGAUGAUCUCAAAAGCAAACAUAUCUGCACCACAAGGCUGUCUCCACCACUACGAAGGGUGAAAAAUAGUUGUAUGCCAGCACCUACGUGCAAUGCAGUCCCCUUCAGCAUCACCAGACCUAGCUUAGGAAGGGCAUCAUGCAUAUUUAAUAAAAAAUAAAUCCAGGGCACAUCUUGUACAGUUUCCAGGAUUCAACAGACCUCUAAAAUAGCCACCAAUGCUGUGCAAUUUCCAUUUCCGUUCUGACAGGAUUUAGGAGCUGGACAAUGCAGCAGAGAAUUCUGGCUGAUCCAAUCUGGGUUCUGAAAUGCAGCAUCGCUGUAAUGUAACUUACUCAAAGGUGUGAAAGCAGACUUUGAGCAGCUUUCAUAUAUAUCAAGCUCAGCAAGGACAGGUACCUUUUCCAUAAAAAGGUGGAACCAAAACUCCAACAGCAAUAGGGGCAAAGGCCUAACAAGAGAGGAUUGUUAAACCAAGCUGGUCCCCUACCAAGGAAAGACAAUGGGCUGGUUUCUAUGCUAGUGAGCAGGUUUGUCAGGGGAAGGUUACCUUGGUAACAAAGGCCAGGCAGGGAUCUGUGACUGUCCAGAGCAGGCCAUCAGACAAAGGGGGCUAAAAGUGAUAAGAGGGCAGGAACUGCUUCACUCAAUGACCAUUUUUCUCCUGUGUAAGAGAAAGGAGAAGCAAUUAACCCUACAACAUGCAGAGGCCUGAUGAGAUCAUCUCUCCUACAAUCUGACUACAAUUGGUACCCCUGGGGACAGGUAAAAGAGUGAGGAGCAUUGUGCAGUGAAUGUUUGUUUUCUAAAUGUCCUACACCUGUCUAUUUCUCAGGUGAUUAAGUAAAGAAAUAAUGUGUUUGAUUCUGGUCAAAGAGUCUGUAAGAGCUAUAUGCUUCACAACUGCAAUGUGUCUCUGUGUCUAGACUAUGGAGUUUUUCUGGGAUACUGGAGGUAUCCCGGAAAAACUCUGCUGCAUCCAAGGAAUGCAUCUGCUCUUCCAACAUUUUUUGCAGAAGAGCAGACACGCUCUUUCAGAAACCCCGUCUUUCUCAUGCCACGAAGAAGAAGGGCUCUUCCAAAAGAGGAGGUUUUUCUGAAAUUUGGCCCACUGUACACGGGCCAAAUUUUGGAAAAGCCUCUUCCGACAAAACUAUCGGAAAAAGGUGUGCAAUUUGCGUAACUUUUUCUGAUAAAAAGUGGCAGUCUAGACAUAGCCUGAGAGAGUUAAAUGGUAACUCAGAAAACACUCAUUUUUGCUGAGCUUCCAGAAGUAUAUGAGCUACAGAGCAGUCAGAAGGGUCAGUGUUCCAGGAAGCUUGACAUCAGUGUUCAGCUCUCAACCAGGGGAUAUGAGAAAGACGGCCUUUACCUCAAGUACAGGAGCGGCCCGAGGCGGGCUGCGGCAGCUGGCGCCCCAGGUGGAACGUGCGAUCAGCGCCCCCGCCUGCACAGCCGUCAAUGGAAUGACGUCAUCGGGCGCCCUGUUGAAGGCGGCACCCUAGGUGACGGCCGAGUCAGCCUAUAGUCACGGGCCGCCCCUGCUCAAGUAUGUGUCUAGGGGCAGCAGCUCAGCUCCAGUCAGGUUCUGGAAACUUCCACCGACAGCAGUUCUGGGCCUCUGGGCAGAAAUCUGUGGGCCCCCUGCUUCUCUGGCUAGGCCAGGGCCACAAACCCUGCCUCCAGCCUCACAGAAGCCCCAAGCACACUCCCCUUUGCCAGAGGAGGCCUGAGUCAGCCCAGCCCCCCACCUGUUUGGAAAAGCUCUAGGAAAGGUAUGCCACACCGUUCCUCUCUUCCCCGGACCCAAUCUAUCUACUUUGGGCAAAGCCACAGAAGUGUUUCUUGAUUGAAAGACACUUUUGACACACUUGCAGGUUCUGGGCCCAGUAACUCCACCCUGGAACCUGUAAGGGGCAUAUCAAAAGCCUUUUUCCAUCAAGACACACUUUGUGGCAGCAACCCGGGGUGGGGAGGGGGGGUGGAAAUGUGUCCGCAGGUCUUUUUAAAUUGCUGGGCCCCUGGGCAGUUGUCUCUUUUGCUCCUCCAGUGGCAGGCCUGAUACCAUCUUAUCCUCCAGAGCCACUACUCAUUUGUAUGAAAUAUACAUAAUUAGUAGUAGUAUAGACUGGAAUCUUCCUUGGUACAUUAACAACUGUAAUUGUAGUCAUCAAUAAAAGCCUGCAGCUGAUCAACUUUGAUUGAGCUUGCCUAGAAAGUGCAGAGAAACUGCAGUCAGAGGCUCCUUUUUAAAUACUUUGGUACCUGUUCUGAAGAUACAUUUUACAGCUUUGUGGAGGGAAGUGGAUGCUUUAGCCAUGCAGUUCCUAUUAGCAACAGUUUUGGAAAGCCUAGUGUACCAUGGUGAAAACUUAGCCUCUAAGGCUUCAUAUUUUAUAAUUCAGUCACCAGUGGGCUGGGACAUACCUUCCUCCCUCCCCCCCAUACAAUGACAGAAUCUUAAAGGAAAAUCUUGGUUUAGCUGCAAAGGUUGGUAAAGGCUAGGUAACAGGGAGUAUACCGAGUCUGGAACCUGGGUGCACUGUGGCUGCACUUCCCAGGGGUUGUUGGUACUGGCUCAGGCCCGCUAAUGUAGUGGUUUACAAACUCUGGGUUGUAAACCAUUACUGGUUCAUGGAAUGUCAGGCACUGGGUCACAUUGCUGCAGGUGGUGAGGUGUCAAAUGGGGGUGCUAAGGCAAGCUGCCUACCUGUCCUGCAGUGCAAACUGCACUGCGCCCCAAAAGAAGGCCCAGCUCCUAGGAGUGCAUGGUGGAAGCACACAGGACUCUGUGCACUAUCCCUGCCUCGAGCACUAGCUCCACUCUCCCAUUGGCUGGCAACCUGCUGCUGGCUGCUUCUGGGGCGCAGCAUGGUCUGCAGUGCCAGGAGAGGCAGGAAGCCUGCCUUAGCACCCCUGCUUCCCUGCUGACCAGGAGUUGCUCAAGGUUUCACCCCAUUGUGCUCCAGCCCAGACACCCAAAGCCUGAACCCCCUCCUACACGCCAAAGCUCUUAUCCUCAGUCCCACCCAGAGCCCACACUCUAAUCAAAUUAUGUUGGGCACAGGCAUGAACAAUUUUCUUCAAUUGGGUGAUAAGAAAAAAAACAACUUACUUUCACCUUUGACUAAAUUACAGAAUUGUUGGUCAGUUUGUGAAGUUUCAGGUCACUAUAAUGGAGUGUCAUACAGUGUCAUACAGCCAUUAAAUCAUGCAACUGAAGAGAAUAUAUAGCAUUUAACAAUUUUAUUAAAAAGUGUACCAGUUAUUAGAAAAAAUUCCAAGUAUUAAAAAGCACCAGAGAGAAAGCACAAAGCAAAUAUACUGCACAGAUACAAAAAAGGAGCUAUUCCCAGUCACCACCACUACAGGCAGGAGUCCUGGAGGCACACAGCCAAGAUAAACAAAAUGCUACAUUCUCACUGGGUCUCAGUCCAUGGCAGAGAGGGCAUGUGCACUUCAGGACUAGUCUAGACAAAGAUUUCACAGGAGAGCAUCGGCUGCACUUCUUCAGCGGGAAGAACGUAAGAUUCAUUUAGUAUGGACAGGCUCCAUGAAUGCAUAAGAGCAUUUUUAACAAUAUACUGAGAAUUUCUCUCCUCUUCAUCCCUUUGACUCUACAAGGUAGCCACUGGUGGCAAUUAAUUACUUCAGUGUUUAAAAAUGAUCUCUGACAAGAGUAGAAAAGUCCAAUGGAAGAUGAAGCUGCCCAUCGAUACAGUAUGCUCAUCUACGGAUCUUUAGAGAGAAAUUGCAGGGGGGAUCUGUAUAUAUUGCUAUCAUCACAGAAGGAGAGGAAGAGGAUUUAAGGGGGGGGCAGGGAAAUACAUGUCCCAAGUUGUAGGGGCAUUUUUUAAAGUAGUCUUAAUUUUGGGUACCCAAAGUUCAUAUUUAGUAUCAGGGUUUUCAAAAUCACCUCUUUUGGGUGCCUUUGGAAAUACCCCACUAGGAACCUAUGUAGUAAGCACCCAUUUAGUAAGAUCUUGGCCAUGUUUGUCUUCAUACAACUAUAACACAGUGAGAAGAGAGGGGUAUUACAUCCUCUUUCCACACUCAACUUUUCCUUUCCUAGUAAUCUAACCAAACUGGAGUGGUCUUCUGAGGGGUACAGGCCUACAUUUGUCUCUCUGGAGCUGAGGAAUGUGGCGAUGCUCUCCUGAGGAUAAAUCUGCAAAUCAGGGAGACUCCACUUGAUUUUUAAAGAUAACUUUAUACAUGCAAAUUUUCAUAAUAAAAUUUAAAACAGUUUAAAGACCUACCCUUCCCAUCUCCUCCCUCCAUCCCCCAAAGGCAGCAAAUAGUCUGAAGACAGAACUGAAAAAAAAUGGCUUUUUAAAAACUCCACAGAUUUUAGUUUCACUUCCCAGAAACCAACUUCCAGCAUGGGAUUCAGAGGAAGAGAUCCUUCCUUCUGUGGGGGAAGGGGUUGUGAGUUGUGGAAGAAAGAAGGGAGGAUGUUAAGACUGCAUUUUUAUAUAAACACACACACACACACACACACACACACACACACACACACACACACACACACACACACACACACACACAAUUACAUUCCAGUGCAUUUGAUGUGUUUGGUCUUUUUCUGCUUUUCCUUAUGGGUAAGAACUAAGUUGUGUGCUACCUGUGUGAACAUGUACAAAACCAAAGAAACAAUGACCAUAAAAGCUUUUUAAGAACUGUAAGAGCUCUUGGACAAUCUCUCACCAAUUCCUUGAGGUAUUUUUUUAAAUUUCCGAAACAAAUCAAAAGCAACAGAGAGGUGUAUUUUUUUAAAUGAUCACAAUUUAAAAAUAAUAUUCUCUGAAAUGGUUAUGAAUAGCUUUGCUAUCAACUCGAUACUCUGUAGCAUUUGACAAACAUGCAGAACUCCCAUUAAUAGGCACUGAAGAGUUUAAUCAAGAGCAUUGUAGGGCCUCUAGUUCAUGAGCUCAAAACAUCCAGUUAAGGUUGCUCAUAGUCAUAUGAGCCUUCCCUUUAACCAAAAUAGGACUGUUAGUAAAACCACCCCUUGAAUGUACCUGAUAUGUUCCAAUAUUACCACUUCUACCCCAUUCACUGGAAAGCAUAGUAGGUGCUACUGAAGAUCAACAAAGGAAGGGUUAAAGUGAAUCAAAGUGACUUUGCAGAGUUUAGACUUCAGGUUGCAGCAACUGCCUAGAGCCUUUAUUUUACCUCCAGCUAGUUUAUUAGAAUCCAGAACCUGCAAUUUCCCAAAGGGAAAGGGCAACCUUCCUCUUCCCAUGAGCCAAAUUCAUCUGUGGUGUAACUUCAUUGAUGGAAAUGGAAUUAUACUGGUAUGAAGUGGCAUCAAUGCAUCUAAAUCUGGUUACAUCUCAGAUGGUUUUAUUCAGCCUUGGUUCAAGCACAAAGGAGCUUCCUCUUCACCAGCCCAGUGUGGAUAUAGGCACAGUUUAAAAAGGAAAGGUUGAGGAGAACAUUUCACUGAAGGGCCAAUUUCUCAACUAGAAUUCCAGCCGUCCAGAACAUUGACAAGUAUUAAGCUAUGCUUCAGAUGGCAGCAGAAGACAGGCAUACUUGUUACAAUGGGAAAAUUGCAAUAGAAUACAAUACCCCCUAGAAACUAACAAAAUGAUAGCAGUUAAUACAUGCAAUAAGAAGUCUACUGCUAGCACCUUGAGAGAAGCCUGCAGUCCAACAUCCAUUUCCAGUGUCAGCCCUUUCUAUUGGAAGUCCAUUCCCUUGUCUACCUCCAUUUUAUCCUAGCUAUGGCAGUUUGCAGCUAACCUUGGGCAAUCACUUCGUGAAUUACUGGCUCAGCCUUCAUGAAUUGCAGGAAACAAAGUAAGAUAAACUAACAUCCACUAACACCAGGCUAAAAGGAUCCAGGUAUGGUUUGGGUUAUAAGAGACACAAGGGAGAUAUUGAAAUAAAUUCUCUCCUCUCUCAGGUCAAGAAUGUCAGGAUCAAGCCAUUUUGGCAAUCAUGGAAAGGGAGGUGUACUUCAAAUACAGGCAGUCCCCGGGUUACGUACAAGAUAAGAACAAACCUACAGUCCCUAAGUUGAAUCUGUAUGUAAGUCGGAACUGGC